rnacentral:rRNA from 1 species
GACGAACGCUGGCGGCGUGCCUAAUACAUGCAAGUCGAACGCUUCUUUCCUCCCGAGUGCUUGCACUCAAUUGGAAAGAGGAGUGGCGGACGGGUGAGUAACACGUGGGUAACCUACCCAUCAGAGGGGGAUAACACUUGGAAACAGGUGCUAAUACCGCAUAACAGUUUAUGCCGCAUGGCAUAAGAGUGAAAGGCGCUUUCGGGUGUCGCUGAUGGAUGGACCCGCGGUGCAUUAGCUAGUUGGUGAGGUAACGGCUCACCAAGGCCACGAUGCAUAGCCGACCUGAGAGGGUGAUCGGCCACACUGGGACUGAGACACGGCCCAGACUCCUACGGGAGGCAGCAGUAGGGAAUCUUCGGCAAUGAACGAAAGUCUGACCGAGCAACGCCGCGUGAGUGAAGAAGGUUUUCGGAUCGUAAAACUCUGUUGUUAGAGAAGAACAAGGACGUUAGUAACUGAACGUCCCCUGACGGUAUCUAACCAGAAAGCCACGGCUAACUACGUG